AGAGAUGUGUGAUGACGCAUAUCAAUAAGCGGAGGAAAAGAAACUAACAAGGAUUCCCUUAGUAACGGCGAGUGAAGCGGGAAGAGCUCAAAUUUGAAAUCUUCAAGGUUCUACCUUGACGAAUUGUAGUUUAAAGAAGUGUUUUCUGUUAGUGGAGUGGCAAAAGUUCUUUGGAAUAGGACAUCAUAGAGGGUGAGAAUCCCGUAUUUGGUCAUUCCUUCUAGCUUUGUGAUACGCUUUCAAAGAGUCGGAUUGUUUGGGAACGCAGUCCAAAAUGGGUGGUAAAUUUCAUCUAAAGCUAACUAUUGGCGAGAGACCGAUAGCGAACAAGUACCGUGAGGGAAAGAUGAAAAGAACUUUGAAAAGAGAGUUAAACAGUACGUGAAAUUGUCAAAAGGGAAGCGUUUGACACCAGUGUUGUUUAGUUGAAAAUCAAUUCAAUAAUUUUUGAUUUUAAGUAGUAUUGACUUCAUCAGCUUGCUGCUUUCUUUUCAGGAAUUAUUGAAUGCACUUUUCAGUUAACAAGUCAACAUCAAUUUCUUUUGUUGUAAAAGGGUAAGAGGAAGGUGGCUUACGCUUCGGCGUAAGUGUUUAUAGCCUUUUACCUCUGCAAUCAGAGAGAUUGAGGUCAGCAGCGUAGACUCUUCGGGGUUAGAUACACUUGUGCUAAGCUAUAGCCUUGUAUAGACAACUUGUUGACUAUGCUCAGUCAUGUAGCUUACUCGCUUGUGCUAUUUUACCUACGCUUAGGAUGUUGACAGCAGUAUAGACUGU
rnacentral:rRNA from 1 species